GGACUACCGGGGUUUCUAAUCCUGUUUGCUCCCCACGCUCUCGCGCCUCAGCGUCAGUCUUCGUCCAGGCGGUCGCCUUCGCCACCGGUGUUCCUCCCAAUAUCUACGAAUUUCACCUCUACACUGGGAAUUCCACCACCCUCUCCGAGACUCUAGCUAAGCAGUUUCAGAUGCACUUCCAUGGUUGAGCCUUGGGAUUUCACAUCUGACUUGCAAAGCCGCCUACGCGCCCUUUACGCCCAAUGAUUCCGAACAACGCUUGCACCCUCUGUCUUACCGCGGCUGCUGGCAC
rnacentral:rRNA from 1 species